rnacentral:sRNA from 1 species
GCUGGGCAUAGUGGAGCAUGCCUGUAAUCCCAGCCUCCCAGGAGGCUAAGGUGGAGGACUGCAAAUUCAAGGCCAGACUCAGCAAUUU